UACGUAGGUGGCAAGCGUUGUCCGGAUUUAUUGGGUUUAAAGGGUGCGUAGGCGGCCCUGUAAGUCAGUGCUGAAAUACCCCGGCUUAACCGGGGGGGUGGCAUUGAUACUGCAGGGCUUGAGUACAGAUGAGGUAGGCGGAAUUGACGGUGUAGCGGUGAAAUGCAUAGAUAUCGUCAAGAACACCGACAGCGAAGGCAGCUUACUGGGCUGUAACUGACGCUGAUGCACGAAAGUGUGGGGAUCAAACAGG
rnacentral:rRNA from 1 species